rnacentral:lncRNA from 1 species
UUGAGCACCUACGUACUUGUCUUGAUGUCACACACACCAAUGACUCAAGACUAGUCACUCUCCCUGAGAGAAGACACAACACGUAUUGAUCUUAACGGACUGUCAAUGCCCAAUUGGCAAUCCUAUGAUCAGGAGCGUUUAGGAUGUGUCUACGAAAGAAUGGUCUCAUGAAUCUAACUUCUUUAGAUCUCAUUCUCCCAAUCACAUAUUCCUUGGACUUAUCGUUUAAGCGUAUAACAUUUAUAUGAGACGGCUCAAACAAUAAUCUUUGCCCUUUAUAUUAAACUAGAUUAGUUUAACAUGUGAAAUGUCCGUAAAGUAUCAUCAUAUGAUUGGUUUUAGGGCACAUUUCUAACAGUUUUGACAGACUAUCACAAAUGUAAGGCAUCUUUGGGUGUCGUUUAACUAGUACUUGUUUUCUGGACUGAACUUAGGCUACUUGCGCUCUAAUUAUGUAUUCACACAUAUUCUAGCACUUGUCUUAACCAGUACUCUUAUGUGUUGGUUUUUCAUUUAUUCGUACUCUCUAUUAUCAUUAUUGCUUCUGCACUAUGCACAUUGCUACAUCACCCUCACGUGACGGCUAGCAUGCCUCGAUCUCGGUCGGGGUGUGUCAAACAUCAUUUUUUCUUCUAAGUUCUUUAUUUUAGUUUUAUUUCUUAUUUACUUUAAUAUUUUUUAUAAUCCAUGUAAGUAUCCCUGUCAUUUGAUGAUUAAUGAACUUCCACAUCACUUUUAAUGAGGUCCCUUGGAUGUUAUGCAAUCUAAAGGCUCAUAAAGGGUGCAAAAAUAUUUGAGUAGUGUUCAGAGUCCUUGCUUCCUAAAUACUUGAUGUCAUACUUCAUUCCCAAAAGUUAAUUUGAAAUUUAGUGAGUUUAAAAAUUUAGAACCUUAAAA